rnacentral:rRNA from 1 species
GUCCCAUCCCGAACCCAGCCGUUAAGUGCCGUAGCGCCGAUGGUACUGCGUCUUAAGACGUGGGAGAGUAGGUCAUCGCCAAAC